rnacentral:lncRNA from 1 species
AUGAUAUUUGCACCCCAUAAACAUGCCAACCACUGGGAAUUUUGUUUUCCAGCACCUAGCUUGCCUUGGAUAGUAGGGUUACUCGAAGUUCCAGGGAUCUCCCGUUCAGUGGAAAGAAUAUCCAAGGAAAGUUUGUUCACUGCAACCAUCACUUCUUGGGAUCGAAGCUCUCAAAAUAGUUUCUCCUCACAUCACAGUGGUGGGAUGACUUUCCUGCUUGUGAAGAUGAAGGACAAGAAGUGCUUCGGAAUGAGGUCCCACACUAAUCCACACCAUCACACCCAUCUGCCGCAUUGCUCUGCUCA